rnacentral:rRNA from 1 species
AUUGAACGCUGGCGGCAGGCCUAACACAUGCAAGUCGAGCGGAUGAAGGGAGCUUGCUCCUGGAUUCAGCGGCGGACGGGUGAGUAAUGCCUAGGAAUCUGCCUGGUAGUGGGGGAUAACGUCCGGAAACGGGCGCUAAUACCGCAUACGUCCUGAGGGAGAAAGUGGGGGAUCUUCGGACCUCACGCUAUCAGAUGAGCCUAGGUCGGAUUAGCUAGUUGGUGGGGUAAAGGCCUACCAAGGCGACGAUCCGUAACUGGUCUGAGAGGAUGAUCAGUCACACUGGAACUGAGAAACGGUCCAGACUCCUACGGGAGGCAGCAGUGGGGAAUAUUGGACAAUGGGCGAAAGCCUGAUCCAGCCAUGCCGCGUGUGUGAAGAAGGUCUUCGGAUUGUAAAGCACUUUAAGUCGGGAGGAAGGGCAGUAAGUUAAUACCUUGCUGUUUUGACGUUACCAACAGAAUAAGCACCGGCUAACUUCGUG